CCUACGGGAGGCAGCAGUGGGGACUAUUGGGCAAUGGACGCAAGUCUGAUCCAGCAACGCCGCGUGAAGGAAGAAGGCUUUCGGGUUGUAAACUUCUUUUGAGGGGGAAGAGCAGAAGACGGUACCCCUUGAAUAAGCCACGGCUAACUCCGUCCCAGCAGCCGCGGUAAUACGUAGGGGGCAGGCGUUGUCCGGAUUUACUGGGUGUAAAGGGCGUGCAGCCGGAGCGACAAGUCAGAUGUGAAAUCCACGGGCUCAACCCGUGAACUGCCUUUGAAACUGCUUCCCUUGAGUGUCGGAGGGGGAGGCGGAAUUCCUGGUGUAGCGGUGAAAUGCGUAGAUAUUAGGAAGAACACCAGUGGCGAAGGCGGAUUACUGGACGAUAACUGACGUUGAGGCGCGAAAGCGUGGGGAGCAAACAGGAUUAGAUACCCUGGUAGUC
rnacentral:rRNA from 1 species